rnacentral:rRNA from 1 species
UGCCCAACACAUGCAAGUCGAACGUGAUCCAUCCUUCGGGAUGGUGAAAGUGGCGCACGGGUGAGUAACGCGUGGGAACCUGCCCAGAGGUUCGGAAUAACCAUUGGAAACGAUGGCUAAUACCGAAUACGCCCUUCGGGGGAAAGAUUUAUUGCCUUUGGAUGAGCCCGCGUCCGAUUAGAUAGUUGGUGGGGUAAUGGCCUACCAAGUCGACGAUCGGUAGCUGGUCUGAGAGGACGAUCAGCCACACUGGGACUGAGACACGGCCCAGACUCC